AGGCACCGGCUAGCAGAGAUGCUAUUGGUGCUUCGGGACUCUGAGACAGGUGCUGCAUGGCUGUCGUCAGCUCGUGUCGUGAGAUGUUGGGUUAAGUCCCGCAACGAGCGCAACCCUUAUCCUUUGUUGCCAGCACUUCGGGCGGGAACUCCAAGGAAACUGCCCGUGAUAAACUGGAAGAAGGGGGGGAUGACCUCCAGUCAUCAUGGCCCUUACGAGUAGGGCUACCCACGUGCUACAAUGGCUCAUACCAAAGGAAGCCACCCCGCGAGAGGGAGCGGAUCCCAUAAAGUGCGUCGUAAUCCGGAUUGGAAUCUGCAACUCCACUCCCUGAAGUCGGAAUCGCUAGUAAUCGUGGAUCAAAAUGCCACGGUGAAUACGUUCCCGGGUCUUGUACACACCGAGA
rnacentral:rRNA from 1 species